AACUGCGGGCGGCGCAGGGCAGGGGCAGUCAGGGAGCAGCGGCGGCAGAGACAGGGCUGGGCGGGCGCCGCCUGCGGAGAGCACCGGGAGGCGGGCCCUGCGUGGGGCCGCGCGCAGCAGCGGCGACGACUUUAUCUGGGCCGCGGGGGACAGCGCAGGGCCAUGGAGGAGGCGGCCGCAGCUCCGAUUUCUCCGUGGACGAUGGCAGCCACGAUUCAGGCCAUGGAGAGGAAGAUUGAAUCGCAGGCUGCUCACCUGCUUUCCCUAGAAGGUCAAACCGGGAUGGCCGAGAAGAAGCUGGCUGAUUGCGAGAAGACAGCCGUGGAGUUCGGGAACCAGCUGGAGGGCAAGUGGGCCGUGCUGGGGACCCUGCUGCAGGAGUACGGGCUGCUGCAGAGGCGGCUGGAGAACGUGGAGAACCUGCUGCACAACAGGAACUUCUGGAUCCUGCGGCUGCCCCCGGGCAGCAAGGGGGAGUCCCCUAAGACUACGCCAUCUCCAAGUCCGAGGUCCUCUCCCAGAUUGAACAAGGGAAGGAGCCCUGCAACUGGCGCCGCCCUGACCCCAAGAUUCCAGAUGUUCCUGUGGACCCCAGUCCAGAUGCAGAAACUGAGGCCCAGCAGAGAUUGAGUAACUUAUGCGAGUUGUCACUCACCUCACACGCCCCAGCAAGCAUCCAGGAGAGCCUGCCUCUUGGAAUAGAAAUCAGACAUCCCACAGGAACUCUGAGGUUUUCCCACUGCUGCCAGAUGUAUGCAAGGAACACGUGAUCUUCGUAAUUCCAGAGCGGGGCAAACUGCUUGGCACCUCUUCAAUAGGUGACAUUCAAUGAUAGAUCUCUGGCUUCCUGCUCUGUUUGUUCUGGUUGCCCUGGAAAGCCUGCUGCUCAGCCCAUGCCCCGGGACUUCCUCCACCCUCACCAGGACAUUCUUUCCAUCUCUUGUCUCCUGUGUGCAAGUCCCUUUCUCCUGGAUUCCAUGUCUUGAAUGUUUCUUAAUUUACUUCCUCAUUUUGGCAGAGGAUGUCCUCCAGUUGUUUUCUGGGAAUGCUAAUAUGCAAGUGAACCAGUGACCUGCAGUUCUGCCCACACAGGGUUAAUAACCAAUCAGAUUCUCUCUUUUCAAGAUGGUUAACAUAACAGACACCAAGAAAGGGAAGAGGAGCCGACAGCAGAGGGGGAAGCUGAAAAGACGCACAAAGAAUGGCCAUAAAAGAUAUGAGCAACCCCAGCUUUCCAGACAGUCACUUUUCCCAGUGGUCAUACCUGGUCUGGAAGAUUCCCCAUCAUCUCGAAUAAAGCUGUUGUUGCUUUUAACUCCAUGGAGAGACCGAAUGGAGUGAGCCCAGCAGGGCAUGCUGGGCAAGAGAGGUCCCCCGAGUCCCAAAUAAGAAUUUCAACUAGUAUAAAACGAGGCAGCGAACCCACACGUGGAAGUCUGAUACCGCUUGCAGAAGGGAAUUGAAUAGAUGUCUCCCUAUUGGUAAGGAUGUGGUUUUAUUGACUUGAAAUAACAAAGCCCGCAAGCAACAACUGAUCAUCCGCGGGAUGCUGCCACAAGGAAUAAUUGAGCACUCAUUCAGACACAGGGGAAACCACUGCCUCUUUCAGUCUUUCUCCCAGAUUCCAACAGUCAGUGUUACAGCAUUUCACCUUGUUCACCUCCCUGAGAAGACGUUGCAGCUCACUCACCCCAGUGGGCACUGGGAGCCUCUGCUCAGGUGGGAGACAGAUGCCCCCCACAUGCACAUCUGGUGUUUAUGAAGCAGAUACUGGGGCUUCAUAAACACAGAAGGGGCAGGGAAGUAGCCCCAGGGCAUAGUGUGGGGCCUCCUGACUAAAAGUAGCUUGCAAACCCCUGCCUAUAACAGCCACUUCCUGGCAGUCAUUGUGCCACUUAGGAGCCCUCCUCACCGCUCUUCCUUUAGUUCCUUCACUCUGUAUAGACCCUGCCAGAGCAGCUCAGGGUGGAGCAGCUGCAGCCAUGGGACCUGCUCCAGGCAAGGCCCUAUGCUACACAGUCCCUGGGGGUGAGGAUUCCAGAGGAGUCAAUUCCCUACCCGCCCUUCCAGGGGAUGGCCGAGAUGAGCGUUCCCACAGGGAAAGUGAAAGUUGCAAGGCUGUUGCGGAAACACCAGGGGUUCCAUCUAGGUCUUGCUGCUCAUCUCACAGAAAGCCAGUCACUGAGACAAGUAUUGUCAGGGAAGAAGGCUUUAUCCAGGUGCUACAGACAGGGUGAACAAGAGAUCAGUCUCAAAUCCAUCAUCAUCAACUGACUAAAAUUAGGGGUUUAUAUAGCAGGGAAGAAAUGUAACUACAUGUGGGAAAACAGGGAUUAACGAGGGGCAAGGAAGAGGAGUUGGCCAACAGGCAGCAGGUGGUCACCUGGGGAAUCAUGAUGGGUGAGGGGUCUGGCUUCUCACUUUCCAGAUGUGGGGAUCUGGUAAAUUUCAGUUUCUUGAUACCGUCUGGGAGGAUUGCUGGCUGGUUUCCUGAGAAAGGAAUUCAGAUGACAUAAAUGUAAAUUUCUCCUUGGGUUUCAAGACUGAGAGGGUCAAUUUCUAGGUUUAUUCAAGAAAAACCAUAAACAUCAGUUCUAUGGGACAAUUGGGCCCAUUUCAAGGCUCUGAGGAUAAGGGUUAAUGAGGGGACAGAGUCGCCUGGAGAAGUUCACUGGGGCCUACAAGAAACUAGAGAGGCUUCCUGGCAAAGCUCUAUGCUGUCUAUCCUCUCUUCUCUCCUUGCAGGAAGAUUCCAGUAUAAUAGACCCGAGGUGAAAAGGCUUUUGUUCAAUAAGUAGAAAACUGAAGGGGGGUGGGAGGCACAUGGAUUUGAACCAGAGACCGCUUGGCCUGCAGGCAAAUGCUGUACCUUCAGUUGCACCCCUCACUUGUUACAGCUGUUUCUGAUAAGCACUUGUGCAGCCCCAUCAGCACCUCGAUUUCUUCUUGGUGAGUCCAUGGGAACAGCCCCACUGCAAACAACCCAUUCCUGCUCUCCUCUUUCCUCUAAACCUCAACCUCCUCCUACCUGGCAGUCCACAGGCCUACAGCUUCUCCUCAGUGGGAAAGACAUCAGCUUGGAAAACCACUUGGAAAGCCAACGUUAUCCUAGAAAAGCUUUUUAAAUGACCCAGCAGGACAAGUCUCCGGAUGGCCUUGGCCAACCCGGUGCUUCCCUCUUUUCUUGGUUGUAGUUCUCAGAAUAACUAGAGAAUGUACUGGGAGUGUUGUCCUGAGAUAAGGAGGAACUGUCCUAAACCUGGACUCUGUUCCCAUCACACCUAGAACAGGAUGUCCUGCAACGCUUUAGCCCAAUGAUCCAAGUUGCCCUUGGGGUAUAAAACUUGACAGCAGAGGGCGUUCAGGGUCCCUCAGCUGCAGUGUGAAGUGGGACACACAGGUGAGACUCCAUCUGCCCUGGGCAGGUUCCUGAGCCUUGGGGGACCAGUUCACCCUACAUCCCAGGCUUCUGUUGUCCCUUGCCUGCCUGUAAGGAAUAAAGUUGCUUUGCUUAACUUGC
ensembl:lncRNA ZNF767P zinc finger family member 767, pseudogene